rnacentral:rRNA from 1 species
GAUUUCUGGUUCGGCGCAAUAGGCCCGCCUCGGUUCACGAGGUUGUGUGCCGUUUGCGCCAUCCAUCCUUCGAGAAAACACUUCUGCCCUUCACUGGGUUGGAUGUGCUAUCUCGAUCUUUUACUUUGAAAAAAUUAGAGUGUUUAAAGCAGGCUUUUUGCUAUGAAUACAUUAGCAUGGAAUAAUAAUUUAGGACUUUGGCCCUAUUUUGUUGGUUUCUAGGACUGAAGUAAUGAUUGAUAGGGAUAGUUGGGGGUGCUCGAAUUCAGCGGCCAGAGGUGAAAUUCUUGGAUUCGCUGAAGACGAACUCAUGCGAAAGCAUU